rnacentral:rRNA from 1 species
GACGAACGCUGGCGGCGUGCUUAACACAUGCAAGUCGAACGGAAAGGCCCUGCUUUUGUGGGGUGCUCGAGUGGCGAACGGGUGAGUAACACGUGAGUAACCUGCCCUUGACUUUGGGAUAACUUCAGGAAACUGGGGCUAAUACCGGAUAGGAGCUCCUGCUGCAUGGUGGGGGUUGGAAAGUUUCGGCGGUUGGGGAUGGACUCGCGGCUUAUCAGCUUGUUGGUGGGGUAGUGGCUUACCAAGGCUUUGACGGGUAGCCGGCCUGAGAGGGUGACCGGCCACAUUGGGACUGAGAUACGGCCCAGACUCCUACGGGAGGCAGCAGUGGGGAAUAUUGCACAAUGGGCGGAAGCCUGAUGCAGCAACGCCGCGUGCGGGAUGACGGCCUUCGGGUUGUAAACCGCUUUCGCCUGUGACGAAGCGUGAGUGACGGUAAUGGGUAAAGAAGCACCGGCUAACUACGUGCCAGCAGCCGCGGUGAUACGUAGGGUGCGAGCGUUGUCCGGAUUUAUUGGGCGUAAAGGGCUCGUAGGUGGUUGAUCGCGUCGGAAGUGUAAUCUUGGGGCUUAACCCUGAGCGUGCUUUCGAUACGGGUUGACUUGAGGAAGGUAGGGGAGAAUGGAAUUCCUGGUGGAGCGGUGGAAUGCGCAGAUAUCAGGAGGAACACCAGUGGCGAAGGCGGUUCUCUGGGCCUUUCCUGACGCUGAGGAGCGAAAGCGUGGGGAGCGAACAGGCUUAGAUACCCUGGUAGUCCACGCUGUAAACGGUGGGUACUAGGUGUGGGGUCCAUUCCACGGGUUCCGUGCCGUAGCUAACGCUUUAAGUACCCCGCCUGGGGAGUACGGCCGCAAGGCUAAAGCUCAAGGGAAUUGACGGGGCCCCGCACAAGCGGCGGAGCAUGCGGAUUAAUUCGAUGCAACGCGUAGAACCUUACCUGGGUUUGACAUGGAUCGGGAGCGCUCAGAGAUGGGUGUGCCUCUUUUGGGGUCGGUUCACAGGUGGUGCAUGGCUGUCGUCAGCUCGUGUCGUGAGAUGUUGGGUUAAGUCCCGCAACGAGCGCAACCCUUGUUCACUGUUGCCAGCACGUUAUGGUGGGGACUCAGUGGAGACCGCCGGGGUCAACUCGGAGGAAGGUGGGGAUGACGUCAAGUCAUCAUGCCCCUUAUGUCCAGGGCUUCACGCAUGCUACAAUGGCUGGUACAGAGAGUGGCGAGCCUGUGAGGGUGAGCGAAUCUCGGAAAGCCGGUCUCAGUUCGGAUUGGGGUCUGCAACUCGACCUCAUGAAGUCGGAGUCGCUAGUAAUCGCAGAUCAGCAACGCUGCGGUGAAUACGUUCCCGGGGCU